ACUCCUACGGGAGGCAGCAGUGAGGAAUAUUGGACAAUGGAGGCAACUCUGAUCCAGCCAUGCCGCGUGCAGGAAGACUGCCCUAUGGGUUGUAAACUGUCUUUUAUACGGGAAGAAACAGCUCUACGUGUAGAGCCUUGACGGUACCGUAAGAAUAAGCACCGGCUAACUCCGUGCCAGCAGCCGCGGUAAUACGGAGGGUGCAAGCGUUAUCCGGAAUCAUUGGGUUUAAAGGGUCCGUAGGCGGACAAUUAAGUCAGAGGUGAAAGUCUGCAGCUCAACUGUAGAAUUGCCUUUGAUACUGGUUGUCUUUGAAUUAUUGUGAAAGUGGUUAGAAUAAGUAGUGUAGCGGUGAAAUGCAUAGAUAUUACUUAGAAUACCAAUUGCGAAGGCAGAUCACUAACAAUAUAUUGACGCUGAGGACGAAAGCGUGGGAGCGAACAGGAUUAGAUACCCCUGGUAGGAUAGCG
rnacentral:rRNA from 1 species